GCAUAACUGCCCUAGCUUCCCAAAUCCUAAAAUGCAUUGAAGUAGUUUCAAGCAUUGCCCACCACAUGCCUGCCACACAGCCCCGUGGUGCUUCCUGCCACACAGCUGGGUGCUUCCCACCCCUGUGCUUUUGUUCAUGUGAUUCCAUUCCUUAGCCUGUACUCUGCCAUGCUCCACCAUGCUCUUUCAAGAACAGUUCAAAUCCCAGAUGCUUUUGCUCUCAUUUUUCUCCCAGCAUGAGAUGCCCUUUUUUCUGUCUACUCAUUGUACCCAUCGUUCAAGGCCGAGCAUAACUUCUAACUUAUCUCUGAAGUCUUUCCUAACCAUUGCGGCAUUCAAUCCUUUGAGAAAGGCUUUUGUGGGGUCACCAGUUACCAGACGUUGCCUGAGCUCUAGGGAUCACAGCUGGGUAAGACACUGUUCCUAAUUUCCAGGAUGAUGUCCUCUCCUCUUUCCUUGAGCUCCUUUUGCAGUUACUACCCAAAGAAUUGCCUAUUAAUAAUGCGAUGCCUCAGGAAAUUUCUUCUGUUUUUAAUUGCCAAUUACAUUCGCUUAACUUAAAAAAUGACUUAUCUUCCCUAGGUAUAGAUUGUAAAGACUCAGUUUCCCCCCAAAGUAUCUGGUUUAACAUGGGAGUAGAGAGAGAUAUACUAUUAUGUAUCAGGUAUUGGGCUACCGUUUUUGCUAGUGCUUCUCCUGGUGUGAUACGUCUAGCAGUUCAUUCUAUGGGGCACACAAAACCCAUGAUAUUACAGAUACUGUUGCUUAGGAUAAGGCUAAAGUAAAUAGUGCCUAUUUAAGUGUUUUUAAAAAUGUGUUGAUUUAAAAACAAAUGUUAAAUAGUAAUGUUUCAAGUAAUAGCUAUGGCAGAAAUGGUAGAAGUGGUCCUUUAAAGUCUUUCAAAUGCAUUGUAUGAUAUCACAUUUAUUCCUCAGAACAACCUUGUAAAUUGGAAACCAAAGUCCAGAAAAAUAAUAGAACUUACUCAACUCACUAAGAUAACAGAUCAAACUUUCCUCCUUUACCAUAAUACCCUUUUGCAUAUAGAAAGAUUUAGUUUAAUUCUUGAAUAUGGGUGUCUGACCUGUGUUUUCAUACUCCAUCUCCUCAAAAAGAUUGCUUUAGCUUUCUAAAUCAAAUCCUUCACCUUCAGAACAAUAAAAGAGGCAUACCAGAGUCAUUUUGGUGUAUUUCUAAGCAUAUUUACAAAAUAUACAAGGAAAAGGACCUGAUUCCCUGGCUGGGUGAGUGAAACGUUAAUUCUUCACCUUGGCACCUCAACCUACAGCUGUAAUAAGGGCCGUUAUGCCCAAAUAGGCCCUUAAACGGAAGACCUGCUGAGCAGAGACCCACUUUCCCAGCCCUGCUCAACUGCCUCAGCUUUUCUGCCAACUGACCAGGCGGAAGCAGCAGCAGGGGAGGAGGGACUGCAGGUAGGUGGGGAGGGGAUCAUUUUGAAAGCCCUGAAUCCCUUGCAGGGAAGAAGCAGCUGCUCCUUGUUUUUCUAAACAUCUGUCCCAUCUGUCCCAGGCCUCAGCUCACCCUUUCGUGGCUCGAGCCAGUUAAACGUGAAUUUGACAAGGAAGCACUUCUGAAGGCUGGUUUGUGAGUGGAAAUGAACCUAAGUGCCACCUAGAAAGUUUCUUCU
rnacentral:lncRNA from 10 species